rnacentral:lncRNA from 1 species
GUGAAUAAAUUCUCUUCCUUGGGAUAUUCAAGCUUUACUGGACAAGGAUACACAAUGGAGAUCUACACAUCAGUUGCAUAUGUAGUUACAGUCUUGUGCAGUGUUGCAACAUCCUCUGCAAAGGAAAGUGUCCAUCGUGCCAGAGAGAGCCAGUGAGUGACCUUACACAGAGCCUUAACUCUGAGCCUCUAAACACAGUUGCAUAAGAUAUUUUUUUCAUUCAUUAUUACAUAUGUUUUUCAUAGAUUACUAAAUGUAAAUUAACAGUAAUGUGUUUUUUUCAGAUUUGACACAUUUUUGCAUGCUUAAGAAAUUUUGAUGAGAUUGGUUGAUCUUCAGACAGUUAGCUCAAGGUUGACGUUUUAUAAUGAGUUUUCUCUUACACUCAUUUACAGACAUGUACUUGACAACGACUCAUGUGUGUUGUGGUAAAAACAACAUAUUUCAAUGGAAGGAAAAUCAUUCUUGUUGUGGCGAGAAAACAUAUGACGAGACAAUCCACUGCUGCUGUAGUAACCCUACACCAGUAGUAAAGCAUAAAAAUGAAACUUGCUGUCUAAAAGCAAAAGAUCAUGAUAAAAAAACAGAACACCAGCCAGGCUCUCCUCCAACUCGCCCUCUGCCCAUAUUAUCAGACUUGAUUUGUGGAUCAGAAACCUACAAUCCCCAUAAACAAAUGUGUUGCUCAGGGAAUCUGUAUAAGGCAUCAGCACUUACUAAGUGCUGUGGCGGAGAUGCUUACACUCUGUCAGAUGACAAUGUGCUGUGCUGUAAUGGAAUCCUUCAUCUCAAUGUGCCUGAGCAGUCCGAGUGUGUUGGAGGUGUUAUAUAUACUCCAGCAAACACUACUUGCCAAAUGUCGACCCCGUCCUCGUCUUGGAGAGCACUGCUGUGGAGGACAAACCCACAGGUAGGCCCACAGAUUACAAAGAUUUAA